UGGUUCUGGCAUCGAUGAAGAACGCAGCGAAAUGCGGUAAGUAAUGCGAAUUGCAGAAUUCCGUGAGUCAUCGAAUCUUUGAACGCACGUUGCGCCCUUUGGCAUUCCGAAGGGCAUGCCUGUUCGAGCGUCAUUAUCAACCCUCAAGCUUAGCUUGGUGUUGGGCUACGGUAGUCAUCCACCGGCCCUAAAGGCAACGACGGUGUCUCCGGGACCCCCGGUACAAUGAGCUUUUUACAAGGCAUGUACUGUGGUGGGCUUGGGAUGCAGUCUCACUAUUUAUUUCUUAGGUUGACCUCGGAUCAGGUAGGGGUACCCGCUGA
rnacentral:misc_RNA from 1 species